ACAAUAGAGUUCUAUAUUGUGCCCAAUGCUUAUUCUUAACCUGUAAAGUAAUACAUUGUCACCCAACAAUGAAAAUUGUGGUCUUUACCCCCUAUUUCCUGUAGGUCAAAGGGCUUGAUUAUGUGUUUCUGUUUUGCUCCUGAUCCUAAACUGAGUCCUUUCCUAUUGAGCUUUUUGUGGUAGGAAGAGGAUCCUUUUACAUGUCUGUGCCCAGGCGCUCUUUGUGUCACAAUACGUCCAUGUCAACAGUAUGAAAAACAUGUGUGCCAAAUUAUUUCUUGGUAAAAAAAACUGUGUCAAUGUGUGUUAACGUUAAUCUGAAAAUGAAUCAAUAAUGUCAAGUAUUCACAAUUUGUCAUUGUAUUAU